rnacentral:rRNA from 1 species
GGGGGAUAACAGGCCUAACGGCCUGCUAAUACCGCAUGUGUCCCUGGGAUCGCAUGAUCCUAGGAAGAAAGAUGGCCUCUCCUUGGAAGCCAUCGCUUAAGGAUGGUCCCGCGUCCCAUUAGCCUGUUGGUGGGGUAAUGGCCUACCAAGGCGACGAUGGGUAGCCGGCCUGAGAGGGUGUCCGGCCACACUGGGACUGAGAUACGGCCCAGACUCCUACGGGAGGCAGCAGUCGAGAAGCUUCGGCAAUGGGCGAAAGCCUGACCGAGCGACGCCGCGUGAGCGAAUGAAGGUCCUACGGAUUGUAAAGCUCUGUCAGAUUGGGAAGAAAACUUCGUGGUUAAUACCUGCGAAGCUUGACGGUACCAUCAGAGGAAGCACCGGCUAACUCCGUGCCAGCAGCCGCGGUAAUACGGAGGGUGCAAGCGUUGUUCGGAUUCACUGGGUAUAAAGGGUGCGCAGGCGGUCUGAUAAGUCAGAGGUGGAAUAUGUCGGCUCAACCGGCAAACGGCCCCUGAAACUGCCAGACUUGAGUCCGGGAGAGGAUGGUGGAAUUCCUGGUGUAGCGGUGAAAUGCGUAAAUAUCAGGAGGAACACCAAUGGCGAAGGCAGCCAUCUGGCCCGGUACUGACGCUCAGGCACGAAAGCUAGGGGAGCGAACAGGAUUAGAUACCCUGGUAGUCCUAGCCGUAAACGAUGGGCACUAGGUGUUGGAGGAGUCUACCCCUUCAGUGCCGCAGCUAACGCAUUAAGUGCCCCACCUGGGGAGUACGAUCGCAAGGUUGAAACUCAAAGGAAUUGACGGGGGCCCGCACAAGCGGUGGAGCAUGUGGUUUAAUUCGAUGCAACGCGAAGAACCUUACCUGGGCUUGACAUGCAGGGGCUAGGUGCAGAAAAUGUACCCUUCUUCGGACCCCUGUGCAGGUGCUGCAUGGCUGUCGUCAGCUCGUGUCGUGAAAUGUUGGGUUAAGUCCCGCAACGAGCGCAACCCUUGUCUUUAGUUGCCAUCAGGUAAUGCUGGGGACUCUAGAGAGACUGCCGGUGACAAACCGGAGGAAGGUGGGGACGACGUCAAGUCAUCAUGGCCCUUACGCCCAGGGCUACACACGUGCUACAAUGGUCGGUACAAUGGGCUGCAAUACAGCAAUGUGGAGCGAAUCCCAAAAAGCCGGCCUCAGUUCGGAUUGAAGUCUGCAACUCGACUUCAU